rnacentral:rRNA from 1 species
ACUGCUCAGUAACACGUGGACAACGUGCCCUAAAGUGGGGGAUAAUCAGGGGAAACUCUGGAUAAUACCCCAUAGAUCAUGAGAUCUGGAAUGACUUAUGGUUCAAAGUUCCGGCGCUUUAGGAUCGGUCUGCGGCCUAUCAGGUAGUAGUGGGUGUAAUGUACCCCCUAGCCUAUUACGGGUAUGGGCCUUGAGAGAGGGAGCCCAGAGUUGGAUUCUGAGACACGAAUCCAGGCCCUACGGGGCGCAGCAGUCGCGAAAACUUCACAAUGGGCGAAAGCCCGAUGAGGGAAUUCCUAGUGCUAGCACUUUUGUGUUCGCUUUUCUUUAGCGUAGAUAACUAGAGGAAUAAGGGCUGGGUAAGACGGGUGCCAGCCGCCGCGGUAAUACCCGCAGCCCGAGUGGUGGUCGAUUUUAUUGAGUCUAAAACGUUCGUAGCCGGUCUGAUAGAUCCUUGGGUAAAUCGGGGGGCUUAACCUUCCGAAUUCCGAGGAGACCGUCAGGCCUGGGAUCGGGAGAGGUAAGAGGUACUUCAGGGGUAGGGGUAAAAUCCUGUAAUCCUUGGAGGACCACCGGUGGCGAAGGCGUCUUACUAGAACGAAUCCGACGGUGAGGGACGAAGCCCUAGGUCGCAAACGGGAUUAGAUACCCCGGUAGUCUAGGGUGUAAACGCUGCAGACUUGGUGUUGGAGGCCCUUCGGGGGCAUUCAGUGCCGGAGAGAAGUUGUUAAGUCUGCUACUUGGGGAGUACGUCCGCAAGGAUGAAACUUAAAGGAAUUGGCGGGGGAGCACCGCAACGGGAGGAGCGUGCGGUUUAAUUGGAUUCAACACCGGAAAACUCACCAAGGGAGACCAUCACAUGAAAGCCAGGCUAAUGACUUUGCUUGAUUCUUGGAGAAGUGGUGCAUGGCCAUCGUCAGUUCGUACUGUAAAGCGUUCUCUUAAGUGAGAUAACGAACAAGACCCUCACUUAUAAUUGCUAACUAGAUCUCCGGAUCUGGUGCACAUUAUCGGGACCGCUGGCGCUAAGUCAGAGGAAGGAGAGGUCAACGGUAGGUCAGUAUGCCCUGAAUCUCUUGGGCUACACGCGCGCUACAAAGGGCGGGACAAUGAGUUCCGACACCGAAAGGUGAAGGUAAUCUCCAAACCCGUCCGUAGUU